rnacentral:rRNA from 1 species
CCUACGGGAGGCAGCAGUGAGGAAUAUUGCACAAUGGGGGAGACCCUGAUCCAGCAACGCCGCGUGAGUGAAGAAGGUUUUCGGGUUGUAAAGCUCUGUUAGCAGGGGAGAAGAAGGACGGUACCUUCAUAGGAAGCCACGGCUAACUACGUGCCAGCAGCCGCGGUAAUACGUAGGUGGCAGGCGUUGUUCGGAAUAACUGGGCGUAAAGGGUGCGUAGGCGGUUAAACAAGUUAUAUGUUAAAUAUAUAGGCUUAACCUGUAGAAAGCAUAUAAAACUGGUUAACUAGAGUGCAGGAGAGGUAAGUGGAAUUCGUAGUGUAGCGGUGAAAUGCGUAGAGAUCAGGAAGAACACCAGUGGCGAAGGCGACUUACUGGACUGUAACUGACGCUGAGGCAUGAGAGCAUGGGGAGCAAACAGGAUUAGAUACCCUUGUAGUC